AAAUCGCAUUGGUUAAUACCUGGUGUGGAUGACGGCACCGGAAUAAGAAGCACCGGCUAACUACGUGCCAGCAGCCGCGGUAAUACGUAGGGUGCGAGUCGUUAAUCGGAAUUACUGGGCGUAAAGCGUGCGCAGGCGGUUUUGUAAGACAGGCGUGAAAUCCCCGGGCUCAACCUGGGAACUGCGCUUGUGACUGCAAGGCUAGAGUACGGCAGAGGGGGGUGGAAUUCCACGUGUAGCAGUGAAAUGCGUAGAGAUGUGGAGGAACACCAAUGGCGAAGGCAGCCCCCUGGGUCGAUACUGACGCUCAUGCACGAAAGCGUGGGUAGCAAACAGGAUUAGAUACCCUGGUAGUCCACGCCCUAAACGAUGUCAACUAGGUGUUGGGAGGGUAAAACCUUUUAGUACCGGAGCUAACGCGUGAAGUUGACCGCCUGGGGAGUACGGCCGCAAGGUUAAAACUCAAAGGAAUUGACGGGGACCCGCACAAGCGGUGGAUGAUGUGGAUUAAUUCGAUGCAACGCGAAAAACCUUACCUACCCUUGACAUGUCAGGAAGUCUUGAGAGAUUGAGAUGUGCCCGAAAGGGAACCUGAACACAGGUGCUGCAUGGCAGUCGUCAGCUCGUGUCGUGAGAUGUGGGUUAAGUCCCGCAACGAGCGCAACCCUUGUCGUUAAUUGCCAUCAUUUAGUUGGCACUUAGCGAGACUGCCGGUGACAAACCGGAGGAAGGUGGGGAUGACGUCAGGUCUCAUGGCCUUAUGGGUAGGCUUCACACGUCAUACAAUGGUCGGUACAAAGGGUCGCCACCCGCGAGGGGAGCCAUCCCAAAGCCGAUCGUAGUCCGGAUUGCAGGCUGCACUCCCCUGCAUGAGUCGGAUCCCUAGUAUCGGGGAUCGCAUGUCACGGUGA
rnacentral:rRNA from 1 species